GUUUGAUGGCCGGGCCCCUCUGGCGAACGUGGCGGCACGUUCGUGAUGUCGGCAUCGAUCU
ncrna:Paracoccus denitrificans PD1222 terC RNA